GUUGUACCAGUAAAGAUUAUUCUCGAAUCUAAAGUGUAUUCAUUAAAGGACUAAGGUUAGUAUUAUUAUUUUCACUUCUAUUGUGGUCACCCAUUCAUGAAAUGUAAAAAUAGCUUAUCAAUGUUAAACUGUCUUUUUAUGUUAAUAUGAACAAGCUUUCGUUGGUAGGAAUGAUGCUGACUACCUGAAAACUAUAAGGAGAAUUUCGAGGUUUCGAGCGAAGGCCCUUUAUCUGGAGUUACUAGCGCUAAUAACUCCAGACGAAGGGCCUUCGCUACAAAAAGUCGAAAUUCUCCUUAUAUUUUUCAGGUAGUUGCAUCUUUAUCAAUAUUAUAUUGUUAGGGAAUCGUGGGUUUGGUUCGAGUUUGGUUAAAGUACGAAAGGAGAAGUUAUACCAAGCUCUUGGAAAUUUUUAAUGACAUAAUGCUUUUGUGUUUAGCACUCGUGGCUUACCAACUAAUUAACUAAGUUAUUUAUACUUGAUCUUGCGGAGGUUUAAACAGAGUGGAUAUAAUUAUGCGCGAAACUAUACCCCAAGCACUGAAAUUGUCAUGUUAUACAUUCGAGAUUCAUACAAUGGAAAUUCCCAAUUCUAAACCAAAACUUCAUUUGUACAUUUCAUUUGUAUAAUUCCUCGCUAAAAAUUCAUUUGUACAUUGCAUAUUUGCAGCCAUGGUGGACUCAAAUUCAACUUUUUGCGAUCUUCCUUAUUCGUCAUCCGUCGCUAUAGCAACAAUCAAUGCAAUAUUUUGUGUGUUGGGUAUUAUUGGUAACAGUCUGGUGUUGGUAGCUGUGUACAGAACCAUGGAACUUCAUACAUUAAGUAAUCUUUAUUUGGUUGCAUUAGCUAUCGCUGAUUUUCUCACGAGCGCCAUAGUACAGCCUUUGUUAAUUGUCAUGGUAAUCCAAGAAAGCAAGGGGGAGUGCAACAAAACAUUGGAAACAGUGUUUCGAAGUGUAGGAAAUUUCUCUGCUGCAGCUUCUUUUCUUAUUUUACUGUUCAUUACAACGGA
rnacentral:lncRNA from 1 species